UGGGGAAUAUUGGACAAUGGGGGCAACCCUGAUCCAGCAAUGCCGCGUGUGUGAAGAAGGUCUUCGGAUUGUAAAGCACUUUCGACGGGGACGAUGAUGACGGUACCCGUAGAAGAAGCCCCGGCUAACUUCGUGCCAGCAGCCGCGGUAAUACGAAGGGGGCUAGCGUUGCUCGGAAUGACUGGGCGUAAAGGGCGUGUAGGCGGUUUACACAGUCAGAUGUGAAAUCCCCGGGCUUAACCUGGGAGCUGCAUUUGAUACGUGUAGACUAGAGUGUGAGAGAGGGUUGUGGAAUUCCCAGUGUAGAGGUGAAAUUCGUAGAUAUUGGGAAGAACACCGGUGGCGAAGGCGGCAACCUGGCUCAUGACUGACGCUGAGGCGCGAAAGCGUGGGGAGCAAACAGGAUUAGAUACCCUGGUAGUCCACGCUGUAAACGAUGUGUGCUAGAUGUUGGGUAACUUUGUUAUUCAGUGUCGCAGUUA
rnacentral:rRNA from 1 species